AAAUUUCUAAAACAUUUAUUCCAACACUCAAAAGAUAGUUUUGCUAAAUAUGAUAACUAGAUAGCCACUAAAAUUACAAAAAAAAUUUAAAUAGUAAAAAAUAUGUUAAUUUAACGUGUUAAAAUUUAAAAAUAAAUUUUAAUUAUGACAUGCAUUUAACAUUUAUAUAAAUAUAUAUCAUAGCCUAAAUAUAAAUAAUUUAAUAACUUAAAUUAGAAAAAAAUAAAAAUCCCGGGCGUAGCCCGGGUUAAUCCCUAGUCUAUACUAAUAAAAGGGACCUUUUG
rnacentral:lncRNA from 1 species